GACGAACGCUGGCGGCGUGCUUAACACAUGCAAGUCGAACGGUGAAGCGAGAGCUUGCUCUCGUGGAUCAGUGGCGAACGGAUGAGUAACACGUGAGCAAUCUGCCCCGGACUCUGGGAUAAGCGCUGGAAACGGCGUCUAAUACCGGAUAUGUCGAGUGACCGCAUGGGCUGCUCGUGGAACGUUUUUCGGUUCGGGAUGAGCUCGCGGCCUAUCAGCUUGUUGGUGAGGGAAUGGCUCACCAAGGCGACGACGGGUAGCCGGCCUGGGAGGGUGACCGGCCACACUGGGACUGAGACACGGCCCAGACUCCUACGGGAGGCAGCAGUGGGGAAUAUUGCACAAUGGGCGCAAGCCUGAUGCAGCUACGCCGCGUGAGGGAUGACGGCCUUCGGGUUGUAAACCUCUUUUAGCAGGGAAGAAGCGAAAGUGACGGUACCUGCAGAAAAAGCACCGGCUAACUGCGUGCCAGCAGCCGCCGUAA
rnacentral:rRNA from 1 species